AACGAACGCUGGCGGCAUGCCUAACACAUGCAAGUCGAACGAGACCUUCGGGUCUAGUGGCGCACGGGUGCGUAACGCGUGGGAACCUGCCCUUAGGUUCGGAAUAACUCCCCGAAAGGGGUGCUAAUACCGGAUAAUGUCUUCGGACCAAAGAUUUAUCGCCUUUGGAUGGGCCCGCGUUGGAUUAGCUAGUUGGUAGGGUAAAAGCCUACCAAGGCGACGAUCCAUAGCUGGUCUGAGAGGAUGAUCAGCCACACUGGGACUGAGACACGGCCCAGACUCCUACGGGAAGCAGCAGUGGGGAAUAUGGGACAAUGGGCGAAAGCCUGAUCCAGCAAUGCCGCGUGAGUGAUGAAGGCCUUAGGGUUGUAAAGCUCUUUUACCCGGGAUGAUAAUGACAGUACCGGGAGAAUAAGCUCCGGCUAACUCCGUG
rnacentral:rRNA from 1 species